rnacentral:rRNA from 1 species
AGAGUUUGAUCCUGGCUCAGGAUGAACGCUAGCGGCAGGCCUAAUACAUGCAAGUCGAGGGGCAGCAGUACUUUUCGGAGUAGCUGGCGACCGGCGCACGGGUGCGUAACGCGUAUGCAAUCUACCCACAGCACAGGGAUAGCCCGUGGAAACAUGGAUUAAUACCUGAUAACACAUUGUUUUCACCUGGGGACGAUGUUAAAGUUUUAACGGCAGUGGAUGAGCAUGCGUCCCAUUAGCUAGUUGGUGAGAUAACGGCUCACCAAGGCGAUGAUGGGUAGGGGUUCUGAGAGGAUGAUCCCCCACACUGGGACUGAGACACGGCCCAGACUCCUACGGGAGGCAGCAGUGGGGAAUAUUGGACAAUGGGCGCAAGCCUGAUCCAGCCAUGCCGCGUGGGUGAAGAAGGCCUUAGGGUUGUAAAUCCCUUUCAGCGGGGAAGAUAAUGACGGUACCCGCAGAAGAAGCCCCGGCUAACUCCGUGCCAGCAGCCGCGGUAAUACGGAGGGGGCUAGCGUUGUUCGGAAUUACUGGGCGUAAAGCGCGCGUAGGCGGACCUGUAAGUCGGGGGUGAAAGCCCGAGGCUCAACCUCGGAACUGCCUCCGAUACUACAGGUCUUGAGUCCGAGAGAGGUGAGUGGAAUUCCUAGUGUAGAGGUGAAAUUCGUAGAUAUUAGGAAGAACACCAGUGGCGAAAGC